rnacentral:rRNA from 1 species
CAGCAGCCGCGGCAAUACGAAGGGGGCUAGCGUUGUUCGGAUUUACUGGGCGUAAAGGGCGCGUAGGCGGACUGAUAAGUCAGGGGUGAAAUCCCAAGGCUCAACCUUGGAACUGCCUUUGAUACUGUUUGUCUUGAGUUCGAGAGAGGUAAGUGGAACUGCGAGUGUAGAGGUGAAAUUCGUAGAUAUUCGCAAGAACACCAGUGGCGAAGGCGGCUUACUGGCUCGAAACUGACGCUGAGGCGCGAAAGCGUGGGGAGCAAACAGGAUUAGAUACCCGUGUAGUCCCUGUCUCUUAUAC